AUGAAUGUGGGCUCUCACUAAAAACCAGGGGUUUCGUGCAUGACGUAUUUUUGGGGGCGGAGUUGUGGGAAGGCUGUUGUCGUAAGGGGAGGGACUUGAAUAGGGUCAAGGAGCAUGCGCAGAGAGGAACCCGCACAAUUCAAAAGGCCGGUGUGAAUCUGCUGCCGAAAAAAGAAACCGCUGGAGCAAGAAAGCAUUUCCUUAAUGGCCGAACAAAGCGGUGUUGAUUUGGUUUGCAGAAGGCAUGCUGGAAGAUCAGAAUUUCCAUUUUUCAAGCACAGAAGAUGCAGUCAAAGAACUCAAGAAAGGAGAUUGCAGUAAAACGUCUACAGGAAUCAGAAGAUUUGUCUGAUGUCUGCAGACUCUGUGGGGAAGCCACUACACAGGAUUCUGUGGACACUGCUACUGCUUCUAAAUGGAUUGCCUGUGACUGAUGCAACAAGUGGUUCCACCAUUCAUGUGUCGGAAACUCACCUGAAGAGGAGGAGUUCCUUUGCCCUUUGUGCAAGAUAGACAGCCCCUACCAACUAACUCAUCUGCUGACCCUGCUUUUAAAUGUCAUUGCUACCACUGUUUUCCAACAACUCUAAUCAGACUUCUUUUUCAUUUUAUGUUAAAAACAAAAAACACACCUUAAAAAUGUAUGUUAUAACUUUAUUGUAGACUUGAGGUUCACCUGAGGUUGUUUAUUUUUUAAAGACAAUACCUUUUAUAGUUUCCAUCAAUUACAGUUUGCCAAUUCAACUAUUUACUUUGACACAGCACAUGCUAACCCUCACUUGCUGAGACUAAAGAAUGUAAAUGAACUUUGUGCCCUUUUUAGAUAGAAAAAGCUGGAAAAUAUGUUCCGCAACGAAACUACAUUUAGGUCAAUAUAAUGUUCUCUUUUUGUAUACUUCAGAAUUUAAUACAUUUGCUAUUUGAGUUUAGAAACAAUAUGCUCAUAAACAUACUUUUAUUGUUAACAUUGUUUUCAUGCCGUAUAUCUAGAUUGUAUUAAAUCCCAUACAUCUGACACAGAGGCAAACUAUGUUCUGAUUCAGGAUAACUGUAGUCCCAGUGUAAAGAGUUAUUGCAUGAAAAAAUAAUUAUAUAAAACAAUGAAAGUAUAUCCAAUAAAAAAAAAAAAAAUAAAUAAAUUU